AGAAUAAAUACGGAAGUUGUAUAAAAGGUCUAUUUCCUGAAAUUCUAUCCGAUGGUGUCCCUGGAACCGGGACUACGUUAUUCCUCUAUUUUCCGCGUUCAUAUUUCAGACAUACCACCUGCUGAGGAUUGUACUAGGAUUUAAAUCGAUUCAAAAAUAUCGAUUUGGAUGUCAAAAAACAAUAACACAGGCAGGUGGGUUUGGACAAUGCUUUUAUGCAAAAUGUUCUGACUUUGUUGCUCUGAUGUGCACGGAGAAGGCCUACUUGUCAAUAAAGUUUAAGAAGACAAGGAAGUAUGGCUGCAACGGAUACUCCAACCCUGCCCACAGAAGGAGGGGGUGAAAUACCUCUGAAGAGUGAAUUCAGAGAAUCUCUUUCGUUUUUAGACAUAUUAUGUGCAAAUCAGUUUGAAGGUGAGCAAAUUGAAUCUGCGGAAGCUUUGAAGGCAGAAUCCGAUUUUUACAAGGGGGCUCCACCAACUUGGAUGAACUUUUAUCUGGGUGAUAUUAACGAAUCUUCAACGGCUGAAGAACAGGCGACACAUCACAUCAAGAGAGAGGGUUAUAAAAGGUUGAUAAAACAAAUCAAAUUUCAGCUACAAGCAGAUUUGAGUGUCACUGCCACAAAGCUUUUGCACCAACCAGGUACUGGUGGGACGACUCUGGCAAUGCAAGUACUGUGGGAUCUAAGAAAAAAGCUUAGGUGUGCCGUCCUUAUAGACCCUUCCUGUGACAAAUUGGUCACUGGCAAACCAGUACAAAAAGAUCCUCUCUUAGAUACUAGAACUAUUGCCAAACAAGUCAUUCAACUUUUCAAAGAGGGUGGACUUAACCACCAGACUACUGUACUGCUUCUCCAAGACAAUGAACACACGAGAUACUCUUUACAAGAGAGCAUCAUCAAAGAAAUAGCAGAACAGGAGAUAAAUGCCAACAUCCCCGUUGUCAUCAUUUUAAAAUGCAAACGCAUGAUCUUUAUUUCGGAUGACCAUGAUGAUGUCUCCUUAUGCUCAGAACUCACUACCAAAGAAGAAGGCUACUUUGCUGCCAAAGAAAAACACAUUCAAAGCCACCACAGAGAACAGCCAGGACGUUUUCAUAGCUUUGAUAUAAUCCGACACAAUUUUGAUAGAGGGCAUGUGGAAAGUAUAAUGUGUUCAAAUGAUGGGAAAGAAAUGAUUGGAUACCUUAAAAGAAACAAAUCAUCUCACAGGACUAAACUCUUUGCAUUUAUUGCCCUGAUAUGUUCAUAUGUCCCUGGCUCCUAUCUUUUACAGUCAGUUUGUGAAUCUUUCCACAAUAAUUUUUGUGCUGAUGAUCGAGGCCUAUCAUUUGAAGAGAUUAUUCAGCCUUUCAGACAGUUUAUUGUUACAUUCUCUAAACAAGGUGGCAAAUACAAGUGUGUCCGCAUUGCACACCCAGUUCUUGCACAUCAGUUUGUUGAGUUAUUGGCUGAUAUUGGUGUUAAAAGAAGCACAGCCACACUGAAGUUUUUGCAGUAUCUAUGCAGAAAACAAAUCCAACCAUCACUUUUGCAGUUCUUCAAGGACCUGCUCACCAAGAGAGAGAGAACCGCUGAUGGCAAAGAAAGGUUUUCCAGGCUAAUUAUAGAUAUUGAAAACAACGAGGACAUCAGCACUUGUAUAGUUGUGUUGAAAAAUGCUUCUGAGACAUUCAAAUAUGACCCAUUCUACCCCCAAUCACUUGCUAGAUUCUACUACAGCAGGACAACUGACUUUGGUAAGGCUGAGGAAUGGGCUCUAAAAGCUAAAGAGAGAGUGCCCACCAAUUCAUUCAUUGCUGAUACAUUAGGACAAGUCCACAAGAACCACCUGAACAAAGCUAUAAAAAGACUAAAGGAGAAAGACAUUUUGACCAUUGCAGAGAAAGCCAUCAAUGCAUUUAAACAAGAAGAGGACUUAGCAGAAAAGGAAGUGAACAACAUGUUGGAUGAAAACAUCACAAAAGUGUUCAACAAUAGAGGGCUUUUUGGCUAUCUACAAGUUGCAAAAAUUGUCCACGAUUCACUCACAAACCUUCACCCAAAAUGGAAAGAUAUUCUAACACAUGCCAUUUCAUCCCAACAGCUCACAGAACUGUUAAAGAACAUAAACCUACCGAAGUACAAAUCUGUCAUCACUGAUCUCAAAGAUGGGGUUCAUACAAAAUGUGAAUUUUUUGAUAGUUACCUCACUUACUCAGACCCAAUGAACUCAGAAAAUGAGCCACCAUACUUAAGGCCAGAAAUUAUGGAUUGCUACAGCAAGUACACCAGUUUGUCGAGUAAGGAAGAUGCUGGACCACUACAGAAGCUGAAAGAAAAAAGGGCAUCCACCUUUCCUGGAUUGUUCUCCAUCCUCAAUCAAAAUGGCAAACAAUCAAGCUUGAAUGAAAUCACUGAGUUGUGGAAAAAAUUGUUUCAAGGAAUGCCUGAAGAUGAAGAUGUUGCCUGUAAUUACAUCCUGGCCAACAUCAUCCUAAGCAAUGAAGCUGAGGGAGUACCCCUAACAGAUUUAAAAACCAUCCUUCAGAGAUUCAUGGAUGAAGAUAUGGCAAAACACCAUACCCCUGAGUUUUACCUGCUUGUUUUGCUAUUAUUUUGGCCUGAAAAUGUGCAAGGACAGAAUAACAUCAACCUUAACAAGUAUGUCGGACCAAUGAGGCAAGCUUUUGAGAAAAAAUACAAGAUCUACUUACAAUCUAGGGAACUUGUUCCCUUGUUCUACCUUGGUAGAGGUGCUGGAUUGAAUAAAUUAGUUCACAAAUCAAAGCUCGACCACAUACGUGAACAGCUGAAAACAAGUCAGACUGGCAGACGAAGUGAUGGGGAUAUGCUGAAACAAACAUCUAUUCAGGAUAUCCUACUUCGUGUCCAAGGAGUUUCCAGAGACCAUAAAACAUUUGUAUGUGUGGCAGGCCAAGAAAUUGAGGUUUGUCCCCACAAACAAGCCAGUGUGCCAAGGCCUGGUGUCAUUUCAUUUUUUCUGGGCUUCAACAUUAGUGGCCUGAUGGCUUUUAAUAUAAGGUACAGCACAGAACAUCAGUCAAAACCAGUUCAACCGGCCACUUCAAGCAAAAACGACAUGGUGUCAGAUAUUUCCAGAAUAUGUGACACCUGUGAUCUUGUAAAGGACUCCAACCAUUGGACUAAAGUUAACCCUAUAGUGAUUACAGAGGCAGGAGUGAGAUUACACUGUCACUGGAACCAAAGAGGGCAAUAUGAGUGCACAGCCUCUGGUCUUCGCUGGGUGUGCAAGAGUGAUGUCACACUUCAAUACCACUACUGCAACUGGACAACCUACAGUCCUUUUUUGGAAACAUUGCAAUACAUACAAGGUGGCCCAUUAAUGGACAUUACUAUUAAAUCAGGUCAACUGGAAGAAAUCCAUCUGCCACAUUUUGCCUGUUUAAGUAGUAACCCUUCCCUUAAGAGCGAAAUGAGAAUUCUGCAUGUGGAGGAAAGUGGAACAUCUAUUGAGAAAGUGGAUGAAGCUACCUGUUGCCAUGCCAAGCUUCUUCAACCCUCCUUCUCUCCAAAAGGUGUUCUCUUGAGAUUUGGGAAAUAUAAAGUGCACUGUGAACUUAUGAUCUAUCUCUCGGGACACAUUCUACGUAUAUAUCUGUUUCCCAGUGAUCCGUCUCUUGUUGAGGCUGUAGAGAAGCAAGAGGAAAAAGAAAAAAAAAGUAAAAGGAUCCUUGUUCCAAGACCAGAAAAAUCCCUGAAGAUAAAAAGUUGGUUCAGCUUGGAAAACACAUGCAAAGCUCAUGUUACUCCAGAGAGAAUAAAGUUGAGAUCAUCCAACACCACACCAAGCUUUUUUAUGAUUCGUCUGGAGAAUUUAAACACUGACAUUGUUCUCGAGUUGAAGCAUGAAAUGGAAGUUGUAUGGAAAGCAAGCAUUCAUAAAGAUCACCUCUUUAUGCAAGGAGAGAGUGAUGUCUCGUAUAAUUACCAGGGGCCAACAAUUCCUCCAGUAGGGUUCGUAGAGAAGCACUUUGCUACUCUCAUACAAUAUACCAAAAAUGUAUUACCGAUGGCUGAUAUUUUGUUUUCACAAAAAAUAAUCAGCAACGAACAGUACUCCAACAUCAAGGCCAUAAAAGUUGAUCAACAACGAACAAGGGAACUGCUGGAUGCCGUCGGAUUCAAGGGAGAAAAAGUGGAAAGGGAGUUUCUCAAAGUGCUUCAGACACACAAUCCUAACCUUAUUGAGUCACUGAUGAUGGAUUCGUAAGUAGGAUGUUUGUUUUGUAUAUAUAACUGGAGGGUAUUUCAGAUAGCAGGUUAUGCAAAAUACCCGGGUAAGUUGACACCCAGCGUUGUAGCAACAUUGCCAGUAUGUUGCUGCAACAUUGUGUGUCGGGUGGAGAGACAAAGAUACGUGUUUCUUAAUUCAAUAGCUUUAAAUGGGUUUAGAUGUCUUGAAUAGAGGGAUCUUGUUUGAAAAAAGCAGUAAAUGGUCAACUGUAGCCAAACAAGGAAGAAAGUACUUUUUUAGCAUUUGUUUGCAUAAAUGAAUCAAAAUCUGGUCUUGUUGUUUACAAGUAUGAUAAUUGGGCACCCAGGCUCCUUUUAAAAGCACUGUACUUCAUGAUAAAUCUUGUAACUGUACAUUUUUGUGAAUGUUGUAUUUUGUACAUAUCUUCUUGUUGCACUGUCUUGAAACACAGACUGUACCUCUGUGUGUUUACAAUGUUUUACUUGACAAGAUGAUGUUGUUGUAUCACUGUCUUAUCAGAUGAGUUAUGGAAUAUUGUAGUUGAGAUUAUGUUAUUGUUUCACUGAUAUUAAGAUAUUUUUUAAUACUGUGACUACAUGUGUAGUCCUUGAUCAUUGGUUGUACGUAUGUGCACAAUCAGUACAUCACUCAGGCAAAUGUAAAUAGAGAUAUUUUUAUCAAACAGCCUGCACAGCAAUAUGUAUUUUUUUAAGAGAUACAACAUUUAUGAAUCUAAUUACGUUUGGCAGCGGAAAUACGUCUUUAUAAACCUGGAUUGAGGAUUUUGAAACAGACCUUUAUCGUCACAUUAUUAAGACAAAAUCAAUGUUCUGUUGUCAGUUUGGUUAACCUUGGCAUACUAUGGACCAAACAAUCUAUUUAUUUUUUAAGGAAAACCUUAAAGAUGCUUCGUGUGGAGAGUAAAAACCGUUGACACCGUUAUAUUUUGCUGUUCUCUCUACUUGCACUAAUUGUACAUCACCAUAAAUAAAAAGGAAUGUUAAAUCAAUAAAAUAUAUGGAUACAUUGUGUGUCCAGGUCUAAACAGAUUAAAUUAGCCUAUGUUCAAGAUCUUCCAAUGUGUUUCUUACCUUUCUAUCACUGAUUACAUACAGUUGUCCCAUGGUAAAAUCAGUAACAUGAACUCAUAGAAACGACAAGAGAUUCUUAAACAUAUACCCCAUUCAAAGACUGGAAGAGCUUUUCAGUGCAACAAACCAUAUUCUAGUAAGAGAUCUACUGAAGCACCUGAUGCUGCUUCAGUAACAUUGCACUACUGUACCUCACUGUACCUCGCCACCAGCCUCCUGUUUGGUCAUUGAGGUA